AACUCUCAUCACUGAAUCCAGAGGUUGGCUGUGGGGUCAUGUCAUGAUGAGGUGGUAUGUGUAGUACCAACUGUCACCAUUGCAUCUGGAAAUUGGUUGCAGAGUCAUGUGAUGAUGAGGUGGCAUGUGUAGUACCAACUGUCACCAUUGCAUCCAAAGAUUGGCUGUGGGGUCAUGUGAUGAUGAGAUACAACUGUCACCACUAAUAUCAGCUGCAUGGCAGGUAUAAAAGGUAUGAACCACCUAUGGGUCGUGAGGCUGUAACUCUGAAUACGUGUCAGAAAAACUACUGAGUACCACCCCCUGCUGACAUGUCUGACAAGAAUUUGGAACACAGAUUUGAUAUAAAGCCGAUGUAUAAUUCAUUGUGUCUUGGCCCAGCGCUAAACCUGAGAGCGCACAACAUAGAAAACCUCUCAACAUCUAAUGACAAUACAAUGCGACGUCUCGUAACCUCGGAUAAUUGCUCGUUAUAUAUGGUACAGACUGAGGAAUGUGAGGGAUUGGACGAUGUUAUAAACAUUUGAUUAACAGACGAGUAAGAAACACAAUGUACUUGGUUGGAAUGUAGAGCUGAUAUAAAUGACUGGGAUCAGAUCUGUGCUAUAUGUUGUGCUAUAUCUUCUGUCCUAAACAUAAUACGGGGGUGGGGGCUAAUACUACACUGGAGCCUAAUAAUACUACAGGGGGGCUAAUAAUACUAGAAGAAGACCUAAAGGGAGAACUAUUUCUAAGGGAGAGCUAACACUACCUGGGGCCCAGAGGUGGCCCUAACUACUAUGGGGGCACAGUGUGAGAAGUACUAUUUGCACGCUGCAAUGAUUAGAUAUUGUGACUUUAGGGAACCUUGGAAAAAUCCUGAUACACUAAGAGAGUCAUGAAUAUAAAAUGGAAACCACUGGUCAAGAUGCUUCGAAAACCAAAAAUCUCGUGGCUGGUUAUUUCCUAUUUGUAAAGAUAAGACACAGGACACAUUUUGAGAUGAUGCAAAAAGCACUUCACCAUCUCAGGAACCUCCACCACAGUUCACACUAAAAUCAUGGACUUAAAGCUAACAUUGGAUCCAGUCAAAGUCUUCAGCAGUCAGUCCCUAUCCAAAGCAAAGCAAUGAGACCCUUCAAGGUGCCAGGAUCAUGUGACUACUCAUAAAGCGAUCAUUUCUUAUUAAGAAGGAGCUACCCAGAUGCCACAAGCACAUGAAAAAAUAUUGAAUCCUUGUAAAUUCCCUGGAUAUAAAAUAACCAAAAAUGGAACAGUUACAUGCAAUUCAAUAAUGGCAAAAAAAAAA